rnacentral:rRNA from 1 species
GGGUUGUGAGGUUAAGCGACUAAGCGUACACGGUGGAUGCCCUGGCAGUCAGAGGCGAUGAAGGACGUGCUAAUCUGCGAUAAGCGUCGGUAAGGUGAUAUGAACCGUUAUAACCGGCGAUUUCCGAAUGGGGAAACCCAGUGUGUUUCGACACACUAUCAUUAACUGAAUCCAUAGGUUAAUGAGGCGAACCGGGGGAACUGAAACAUCUAAGUACCCCGAGGAAAAGAAAUCAACCGAGAUUCCCCCAGUAGCGGCGAGCGAACGGGGAGCAGCCCAGAGCCUGAAUCAGUGUGUGUGUUAGUGGAAGCGUCUGGAAAGGCGCGCGAUACAGGGUGACAGCCCCGUACACAAAAAUGCACAUGCUGUGAGCUCGAUGAGUAGGGCGGGACACGUGGUAUCCUGUCUGAAUAUGGGGGGACCAUCCUCCAAGGCUAAAUACUCCUGACUGACCGAUAGUGAACCAGUACCGUGAGGGAAAGGCGAAAAGAACCCCGGCGAGGGGAGUGAAAAAGAACCUGAAACCGUGUACGUACAAGCAGUGGGAGCACGCUUCGGCGUGUGACUGCGUACCUUUUGUAUAAUGGGUCAGCGACUUAUAUUCUGUAGCAAGGUUAACCGAAUAGGGGAGCCGAAGGGAAACCGAGUCUUAACUGGGCGUUAAGUUGCAGGGUAUAGACCCGAAACCCGGUGAUCUAGCCAUGGGCAGGUUGAAGGUUGGGUAACACUAACUGGAGGACCGAACCGACUAAUGUUGAAAAAUUAGCGGAUGACUUGUGGCUGGGGGUGAAAGGCCAAUCAAACCGGGAGAUAGCUGGUUCUCCCCGAAAGCUAUUUAGGUAGCGCCUCGUGAAUUCAUCUCCGGGGGUAGAGCACUGUUUCGGCAAGGGGGUCAUCCCGACUUACCAACCCGAUGCAAACUGCGAAUACCGGAGAAUGUUAUCACGGGAGACACACGGCGGGUGCUAACGUCCGUCGUGAAGAGGGAAACAACCCAGACCGCCAGCUAAGGUCCCAAAGUCAUGGUUAAGUGGGAAACGAUGUGGGAAGGCCCAGACAGCCAGGAUGUUGGCUUAGAAGCAGCCAUCAUUUAAAGAAAGCGUAAUAGCUCACUGGUCGAGUCGGCCUGCGCGGAAGAUGUAACGGGGCUAAACCAUGCACCGAAGCUGCGGCAGCGACGCUGAUGCGUUGUUGGGUAGGGGAGCGUUCUGUAAGCCUGCGAAGGUGUGCUGUGAGGCAUGCUGGAGGUAUCAGAAGUGCGAAUGCUGACAUAAGUAACGAUAAAGCGGGUGAAAAGCCCGCUCGCCGGAAGACCAAGGGUUCCUGUCCAACGUUAAUCGGGGCAGGGUGAGUCGACCCCUAAGGCGAGGCCGAAAGGCGUAGUCGAUGGGAAACAGGUUAAUAUUCCUGUACUUGGUGUUACUGCGAAGGGGGGACGGAGAAGGCUAUGUUGGCCGGGCGACGGUUGUCCCGGUUUAAGCGUGUAGGCUGGUUUUCCAGGCAAAUCCGGAAAAUCAAGGCUGAGGCGUGAUGACGAGGCACUACGGUGCUGAAGCAACAAAUGCCCUGCUUCCAGGAAAAGCCUCUAAGCAUCAGGUAACAUCAAAUCGUACCCCAAACCGACACAGGUGGUCAGGUAGAGAAUACCAAGGCGCUUGAGAGAACUCGGGUGAAGGAACUAGGCAAAAUGGUGCCGUAACUUCGGGAGAAGGCACGCUGAUAUGUAGGUGAGGUCCCUCGCGGAUGGAGCUGAAAUCAGUCGAAGAUACCAGCUGGCUGCAACUGUUUAUUAAAAACACAGCACUGUGCAAACACGAAAGUGGACGUAUACGGUGUGACGCCUGCCCGGUGCCGGAAGGUUAAUUGAUGGGGUCAGCGCAAGCGAAGCUCUUGAUCGAAGCCCCGGUAAACGGCGGCCGUAACUAUAACGGUCCUAAGGUAGCGAAAUUCCUUGUCGGGUAAGUUCCGACCUGCACGAAUGGCGUAAUGAUGGCCAGGCUGUCUCCACCCGAGACUCAGUGAAAUUGAACUCGCUGUGAAGAUGCAGUGUACCCGCGGCAAGACGGAAAGACCCCGUGAACCUUUACUAUAGCUUGACACUGAACAUUGAGCCUUGAUGUGUAGGAUAGGUGGGAGGCUUGGAAGUGUGGACGCCAGUCUGCAUGGAGCCGACCUUGAAAUACCACCCUUUAAUGUUUGAUGUUCUAACGUUGACCCGUAAUCCGGGUUGCGGACAGUGUCUGGUGGGUAGUUUGACUGGGGCGGUCUCCUCCUAAAGAGUAACGGAGGAGCACGAAGGUUGGCUAAUCCUGGUCGGACAUCAGGAGGUUAGUGCAAUGGCAUAAGCCAGCUUGACUGCGAGCGUGACGGCGCGAGCAGGUGCGAAAGCAGGUCAUAGUGAUCCGGUGGUUCUGAAUGGAAGGGCCAUCGCUCAACGGAUAAAAGGUACUCCGGGGAUAACAGGCUGAUACCGCCCAAGAGUUCAUAUCGACGGCGGUGUUUGGCACCUCGAUGUCGGCUCAUCACAUCCUGGGGCUGAAGUAGGUCCCAAGGGUAUGGCUGUUCGCCAUUUAAAGUGGUACGCGAGCUGGGUUUAGAACGUCGUGAGACAGUUCGGUCCCUAUCUGCCGUGGGCGCUGGAGAACUGAGGGGGCUGCUCCUAGUACGAGAGGACCGGAGUGGACGCAUCACUGGUGUUCGGGUUGUCAUGCCAAUGGCACUGCCCGGUAGCUAAAUGCGGAAGAGAUAAGUGCUGAAAGCAUCUAAGCACGAAACUUGCCCCGAGAUGAGUUCUCCCUGACCCUUUAAGGGUCCUGAAGGAACGUUGAAGACGACGACGUUGAUAGGCCGGGUGUGUAAGCGCAGCGAUGCGUUGAGCUAACCGGUACUAAUGAACCGUGAGGCUUAACCUUACAACGCCGAAGCUGUU